CGUUGAUUUUGUUGAACGAGGAAUACUGCUUUCUCAAAAGUUGCUAAGACAGGGCUAUGAAUCAAUCAAAUUAAGGUCAUCACUCAAGCAAUUUUAUGGUCGCCAUCAUGAGCUGAUUGGCCAUUAUGACAAAAGUGUGUCAGAAAUCAUAUCUCAGUGAUAUUCUUCCUCAGUCAUAACAACCUUUCAUCAUUACCGAACUGAACAAAGAAAUAACAUGACGGGUGCCGUAUACGGUGCAGGAAAUGCUUACCCUUCCG
rnacentral:lncRNA from 1 species